rnacentral:rRNA from 1 species
AUUGAACGCUGGCGGCAGGCCUAACACAUGCAAGUCGAGCGGAUGAAGGGAGCUUGCUCCUGGAUUCAGCGGCGGACGGGUGAGUAAUGCCUAGGAAUCUGCCUUGUAUUUGGGGAUAACGUCCGGAAACGGGCGCUAAUACCGCAUACGUCCUGAGGGAGAAAGUGGGGGAUCUUCGGACCUCACGCUAUCAGAUGAGCCUAGGUCGGAUUAGCUAGUUGGUGGGGUAAAGGCCUACCAAGGCGACGAUCCGUAACUGGUCUGAGAGGAUGAUCAGUCACACUGGAACUGAGACACGGUCCAGACUCCUACGGGAGGCAGCAGUGGGGAAUAUUGGACAAUGGGCGAAAGCCUGAUCCAGCCACGCCGCGUGUGUGAAGAAGGUCUUCGGAUUGUAAAGCACUUUAAGUUGGGAGGAAGGGCAGUAAGUUAAUACCUUGCUGUUUUGACGUUACCUACAGAAUAAGCACCGGCUAACUUCGUG